CCUAGAGUAGUCGGGGCUUUGCAUGCCUAUCUCUACCCAUGUCUUUUGCGUACUCUUCGUUUCCUCGUGCGGUCAGCCCGCCGAUUGGACAACCUAAACCAUUUUGUAGUUGCAAUCAGCGUCUGAAAAUAAUCUAAUAGUUA
rnacentral:misc_RNA from 1 species